ensembl:miRNA
AACAUUCAUUGCUGUCGGUGGGUUUGAGUCUGAAUCAACUCACUGAUCAAUGAAUGCAAA